rnacentral:rRNA from 1 species
UACCAGCACCCCGAGUGGUCGGGACGAUUAUUGGGCCUAAAGCAUCCGUAGCCGGCCUUACAAGUCCUCCGUUAAAUCCAGCUGCUUAACAGAUGGGCUGCGGAGGAUACUAUAAGACUAGGAGGCAGGAGAGGCAAGCGGUACUCAGUGGGUAGGGGUAAAAUCCGUUGAUCCAUUGAAGACCACCAGUGGCGAAGGCGGCUUGCCGGAAUGCGCUCGACGGUGAGGGAUGAAAGCUGGGGGAGCAAACCGGG